AAAUAACUGUGGCGAUGGUGACGAAGGCGACAAUGUGCCGGCACCGAUGAUGACAAUGAUGAUGACGAUGAGGAGGACGAUGACCAUGUGCUGGUGCCGGCAACGAUGACAAAUGAGAAAGGAUUUACUAAAAAAAAUAUUUGAGAAUAUGUAAGAAAAAUGUAGGUGAAAAUGAAAAAGGAUAUUAUUAAAAAAAUAUAUACUUUAUAUUUGAUAAAAGUAUACGUAAGAAUGUGAAAAUA
rnacentral:lncRNA from 1 species